CAGAGGGGGCAAGCGUUGUUCGGAAUUACUGGGCGUAAAGGGCGCGUAGGCGGCCUUCUAAGUCGAACGUGAAAUCCCCGGGCUCAACCCGGGAACUGCGUCCGAUACCGGAAGGCUUGAAUCCGGGAGAGGGAUGCGGAAUUCCAGGUGUAGCGGUGAAAUGCGUAGAUAUCUGGAGGAACACCGGUGGCGAAGGCGGCAUCCUGGACCGGCAUUGACGCUGAGGCGCGAAAGCUAGGGGAGCAAACGGGAUUAGAUACCCCGGUAGUCCUAGCCCUAAACGAUGAAUGCUUGGUGUGGCGGGUAUCGAUCCCUGCCGUGCCGAAGCUAACGCAUUAAGCAUUCCGCCUGGGGAGUACGGUCGCAAGGCUG
rnacentral:rRNA from 1 species